CCCUUCCCCUCUCACUUCCUGCUCGCUUCUCUCCUCCUCCUCCCACCAUGCAAGCAGCAGGCGGAGCCUCGGGGGAAAGAGGGCCAAGUGGGGCACGGUCCAGGUGCCGGGGCCCACAAAAGAUUAAUCUGGCCCUGUUCAUGUGAUGGUUUCUUCUUAUUAUCUUUGGGACAGUUCAGGUUUCAGGGGCUUAAAUAGUGUUUUUUUUUUUCCCAUAGAUCUUGCCCCUGUUGAGGCCAACUUAACUUUUCACUCAGCAGCACUGCUAAGAGAACAUCCUCUUUCUAAAAGACUGCGAUCUGUCUCUGAAAAGACUCAGUUGUGACAGAAAUGCCUAGAAGACCAAGUAGUUGUGUGAAACUCAGUGAUGGCCAGAAUUAUUUUCAUCUGUUUGCUACUGGUUUUGGUCGUGGAUUGAAAUCCCCAGAAUUCUUCUUUCAAUCCGUGACUGAGUCCUCAAUGAAGUGAUCGGACAGCAGAGUGGAUUGCAGGACGUCGUUGUGGAAAGCAGGUACAUAACUAGGCUCACUGACAAUCGAUGAACUACAGCUGCCGCCGAGUGGUGCCCACGGGUACUGAAACGACCACUCGACCGACCUCCAAAGAGAUGGGAAGAUUUUAUCGUGAAAAGACAUGGCCGCACAUGGAGAAGGAAGGCCAAGAUAAGAGAAGAAUGGACGAUGUGUUGUGAUUGGUGCAAUACACAUGAGGGUUGAAGGACCGAUCAAGCAAGGUGAUCAAGGUGACAAUAGCUUUCAAUAUAAAACUAAAAUAAUUUCUAAGUUGCGACCUAUUUGAUUGAGUUCAUACACCAUAACUUUGUUAUUUUCCCUCUUAUUGGACUGGUGCAUAGUGUUGCAUUUCAAAAACGAUUUGCAGUGUUGCCAUCUUUCAUGAUUUCAUCACAAGUCUCCUAACAUUUGAUGCUUUUCUUUCAGUCAGAGUGCCUGGAAUUCUGUACUUUUGUGAGAAUAUCAGAUUUCAUUUUUAAUAUAUUAAGUUUCCAGCCCUCAAAGCUCAAAACUAAAGGCAACUAGGGAAUCUAAUAUAUUAUAUUAUGGGUUUUUUUUAAUCUGAUGAUAUUUAAGUCAAUCUAAUGAUUUUGGGGUGCCUGACUGAUACUUUUGUACACUUUAAGUUCGCCCAUCUCAGAGAACUUUUUUGAAUCUGUGUAAGUGGAUGGUUGAAAACACAAAUGAUGGCCAAAAGCAAACUCAACCCCACAGUGAAGGACUUAAUGGUUAUCUUUUAUAUCUUGGCUCUUUGGAAAGGGUUUCCACCUCCCAUUUUGUGUCUGAGUAAACAUUCUCCUUUAGGAGUGCUUCUCUGCUAUCUGGAAAAACACUUUCAGGCACAAUAAUAAACUUGCUAACAUUUAUAUAACAAAUUCAGUUCAUACUAAAAAUGAUAAUCAUAUGAGCCAAGUCCUGCAGUCCUUAUUCAACCAAGUAUCAGUGAGCAAUCCUCUGAACUCAGCUACACUAGUGCAACUCCAUUGACUUAGUGGGAUUCUAGCCUCAAUAAGAAUGAAAACAGACUGCAGUAUUUGUACAUAAAUCUUGUAAACACUUUCCUGACAGGAUUAUUCUUAUACUGCAAUUUGUGAUUACAGAUAUUUAUAUAAAAGUACACAUCUCCCUAACCAUCCUGCUAGCUCACCGACUAGAAAAUUCUAGGGUUCUGUGGCUUGAUGUUCUCUUGGUAGCAGGUGUUAUUUGUGGCAGCUAAUUCUGUAUUUACUUGCUCUCAAAGGGUAUUUUGAAAUUUGCAAAUAGCAAAUAAAAAUGAACACUGCAAUUCUACCCACACGCUUGCUCUGAACUAAAUUGUCAGCAUCAUACCCCACUCUCCAGAAAUCAGGAUCUGCAAACAUGUCUUGUGGCAGAAUAAAAAGGGAACCAGAUCAAUGGAAGAAAUGGCAACAAUUGCAGUAUUCCACUGAUUUGCAAAAGACAGUGUUGGUAAGAGCUAAAUGGCUGUUUUGUUUAACUGUGUCCAUGAACUUUUGUUAUUACAAAUGUAUGUGAAUGGAGUUUUGUUCACAUGAAUGUUUGAGAAGGCUCAUGUUUAUACAAAUAUCUGUUUGAACAAGAGUAUUCACUGUAUAUAUGUGUGUGCUAUUUACUAUUCAUUAUUAUGCUUUUAAUAUUUCAGCCCUCCAGUCAGGGAGCAGAAAUAAUAUCAUGUCAUUUAGGUAACUAAACAUCAAGUGUGAAUCUAAUGAAGCAAACUGUUUGAACAAUUAUUAGGCUAUGAGCUAUAGUCAUACAUCAAGAUCCUUAAGUAACUGAAUAAAAUGCAACCAGCAGUGACAGUAUCAGCAAUCAACUUUCCUGCAUUUUUUAUAGAGCUUCUGGUGAGUUUCCAAACUUCAAAUUUGUCCAGGUUUCAGCAAUUCUAAUACAGUGGAAAGUCUAUGUAAUUAACAGAUAGAUUUACUGUGAUCUUCUGUGAACUGUUAUUUUAGAAACUUGUCUUAGAAGCAGCAACAGUCUGUCAUGCUCAGUUCCCUCACGACAGAGACUGUUUCAGAGAAGCAGAGCACGGACAAUACAUAUAGCCUGUCUCUGAAUGAUCCCAGUAGUGGCAGUAGUGUCCUGCCAGUAGGGAGAUCCCUUGUCUAUAAAUUCCAGAUCUUACUGAAUCCUUGUCCUUUGCUCUCUGUUAAGUCAGUUGCUUAUUUCUGAAAUAAAGUAAUUACUUUAUUCAUGCUGAGGAAACUGGCGGUGCCAGUUUUAAUUCCAUAGCUCUUCACUCUCUGGUCACUCCGUAACAGACUUAAAGGUGGCAGUUUUGCAACAGAAAAGCUUCAAAAACAGACUCCAACAAGAAACUGCUGAACUGGAAUUAAUUUGCAAACUAGAUACCAUUAACUUGGGCUUGAAUAGAGACUGGGAGUGGCUGGGUCAUUACACAAAUUGAAUCUAUUUCCCCAUGUUAAGUAUCCUCACACCUUCUUGUCAACUGUCUGAAAUGGGCCAUCUUGAUUAUCACUACAAAACAAUUUUUUCUCCUGCUGAUAAUAGCUCAUCUUAAUUAAUUAGCCUCUUAGAGUUGGUAUGGCAACUUCCACCUUUUCAUGUUCUCUGUAUGUAUAUAUAUCUUUUUACUAUGUGUUUCAUUCUAUGCAUCUGAUGAAGUGGGCUGUAGCCCAUGAAAGCUUCUGCUCAAAUAAAUUUGUUAGUUUCUAAGGUGCCACAAGUACUCCUGUACUUUUAGAAGAGACCUUUCUAAAAGUAAUAGUGCAGUUUGUUUACAGAUAUUUAAACAGAGGACAUGUCCUACCCAAACCCACAUAUGCACACACUGAAUAGAUGGAAUUCAGAUCCCUUGUUAGAUGAGAGACUCAGCUAGGAUUUGAAAUGAAUUUCGAGCACGAUAUCUGGAAUUUGCAGCAGAGAGCUGGCUUCUGCAGAAAUCUUUGUCUAUGUCCUGGUCAUCUCUACCUUGAUAUCUAUAGGUUUGAACCUGCUCCUCCCUGCCUCCUCCUAUGCCCCACCAGCCUACACAAGAUCCACUGCAAAAGUAAUCCUCCUCUCCUGCUUCUCUGGCUGCCUUUCCACUUCCUUGAUUUCCUGUCUUUUACAAUUUUGGAUCCAAACAUCCCCAACCCCAUCUUCAAGGCCACACAAAGCCUCAUCACUUCUGCAUCUACUCUGCUUUCAUCUUCCUCCUUCCUUCACUUGCCCAGUCCUCUCUCCUUUUACUGCACCUUUCAUCUGCCUUCCACUCUUGGUUUUGCACCUUCCUCCAUGAUACUUCCUACACUUGAAGCAGUCUCCCACUUCCUGUCCAAUAAGAGCCCUCUCUCUUCUCCAGGACUCCUCCCUAUGGUACUCUAUGAUUCCCACCAGUAAACUCUCCAAACUCUCACUGAGCUAAACUGCUGUUCUGAGCCUUGUGUGUCUUCUAGUCUGUAAACUUCUCAUAGCAGGGAACAUGCCUAGUUGUAUGUAAAUAAUAAUAACAAUAAAUGAUUAUACAAGUGA